GCGCCCCUACGGGAGGCAGCAGUAGGGAAUCUUCCACAAUGGGCGAAAGCCUGAUGGAGCAACGCCGCGUGGGUGAAGAAGGUCUUCGGAUCGUAAAACCCUGUUGUUAGAGGAGAAAGUGCGUGAGAGUAACUGUUCACGUUUCGACGGUAUCUAACCAGAAAGCCACGGCUAACUACGUGCCAGCAGCCGCGGUAAUACGUAGGUGGCAAGCGUUAUCCGGAUUUAUUGGGCGUAAAGGGAACGCAGGCGGCCUAUUCAGUCUGAU
rnacentral:rRNA from 1 species